UGCAGUGUUUGAUCCAUGAGCUCUUUCUUACUUCUUGUUAUAACUUUUGGUGCCUUUUCUGAGUUAUGGAGACCCCUAUUUAUAGUUGUAGAAGGGAAGAGUCAUGAUAGGAACAAACUCUUUCCGAUCAAUCAAAUUGAAGAGUGACAUGGCCGCAUUUGAUUGGCCAGAACAUGUCACUUGCACACGUGGCGCGAUUUCAUUGGCCUUUUAGUGUGACUUGGCAUGUCUUGUCAUUUUGACAUGUGGCAUGAUCCUAUUGGCUUUUCCGUUUGGCUUGGCUCGCCACGUUAUUUGACACGUGGCUGCAAACUGGGCCUCUAGGAAGUGUCAUCUUGGGCUUAAUGAAGUGAGCUCAUCACUUUAGCUCAAUUAAAUGGGCUAGCCCAAUGGAUUAAGACUUAUUUAUUUAAUCCAUACUUGUUGUACUUCUAUAAUUAAUUCAAAUAUAAUUGCCAAUAAAUUUAUUUGAACUAAUAUAUCUUGAAUUUAAAAUUUAGUCUAAAUUAUUUUAUGGAUUUAAUUCUAAUAAAAUUUAUAUGUCUACAAUACUAUAUUGAAAAAAUUAUUGCUAAUUUAUCCAUACUAUAUUGCAAAUUAUAUAGCUAAUUUAUACAUAAUAUAUUGCUAAAUUAAUGCAAAAAAAAUUACCCGAAAAAGGACUACAAAAUCUGUUGCCGGACCACCGUCGGAUGAGAGAAGAGUCACAGAUUCCUUUGCCAAAAACGAUUUAAACAACUUGAGAAAAAGUAAAUAGGGGGAGGAGGGGGUCGGCUGGAGGAGGAAAAUGGAGGGGGAGAGUGAGAGUGAGAGAGAGGGAAAUCAUGUCAAGAUACCUUAUAUUGUUAGAUUAGAGAAGAACAAGAAAUAAAGUGGGUGUUGCAGAUGAGAGGGAGGAUAGGAAAAAAACUAGAG
rnacentral:lncRNA from 1 species